rnacentral:ribozyme from 1 species
CUCGAAAUGUUUUGAAAGCAUUUCCCAAAACAGUUCAUGAAAAAAGAGAGGGGGCAGCGGAAUUGUGUGUGUUUUUUUUUUUUUUUUUUUUUUUU